GUGUGUAAUUGCAAAAGAAUGUGUAAAAGAUGAAAAGAAAAGCUUUUGAGAAAAAGAUACAUGCAUCUAUUUUGCAACUUGCAUGGUACUAACAAUUUAUUUUUUUCCCCUUCAUAUAUAUAUAUAUACACACACUACUUUAGACUUUGGAAAAAAAUAACUUGUUAAAGUUCAAAGCUCCACUACUUUAAACAUAAAAAUAUUCAAAAAAAUAAAAAAAAUUGUCUUUCUUCAUUGUGGUUCAAUCUUCUAGCUCAACUAGCAAGUCAAGUAGUUAUGAAGAUCCAUCGACAUACGAAAAAAGAAGAAGGAAACUGACGAUUGAAACAUGUCAAAGGGACGGGUGCAACACAGUUGACUGAUCUAACCGCAGCAAGUGUUGAUGA